rnacentral:rRNA from 1 species
UAUCAAUAAGCGGAGGAAAAGAAACCAACAGGGAUUGCCCUAGUAACGGCGAGUGAAGCGGCAACAGCUCAAAUUUGAAAUCUGGCAUCCGCCCGAGUUGUAAUUUGUAGAGGAUGCUUCUGGGCAGCGGCCGGUCUAAGUUCCUUGGAACAGGACGUCAUAGAGGGUGAGAAUCCCGUAUGCGACCGGUUGGCACCCGUCACGUAGCUCCUUCGACGAGUCGAGUUGUUUGGGAAUGCAGCUCUAAAUGGGAGGUAAAUUUCUUCUAAAGCUAAAUACCGGCCAGAGACCGAUAGCGCACAAGUAGAGUGAUCGAAAGAUGAAAAGCACUUUGGAAAGAGAGUUAAACAGCACGUGAAAUUGUUGAAAGGGAAGCGCAUGCCACCAGACUUGUCGGCGGUGUUCCGCCGGUCUUCUGACCGGUCCACUCGCCGCCGCCAGGCCAGCAUCGCUUGGGACCGCCGGACAAAGGCGUGGGGAAUGUGGCUCCCUCGGGAGUGUUAUAGCCCCGCGCACAAUACGGCGCGCCCCGAGCGAGGUCCGCGCUUCGGCUAGGAUGCUGGCGUAAUGGUGGUAUGCGGCCCGUCUUGAAACACGGACCAAGGAGUCUAACAUCUAUGCGAGUGUUCGGGUGUCAAACCCCUACGCGGAAUGAAAGUGAACGGAGGUGGGAACUUUUUUGUGCACCAUCGACCGAUCCUGAUGUCUUCGGAUGGAUUUGAGUAAGAGCAUAGCUGUUGGGACCCGAAAGAUGGUGAACUAUGCCUGAAUAGGGUGAAGCCAGAGGAAACUCUGGUGGAGGCUCGCAGCGGUUCUGACGUGCAAAUCGAUCGUCAAAUUUGGGUAUAGGGGCGAAAGACUAAUCGAACCAUCUAGUAGCUGGUUCCUG